AUACGGAGGGUGCAAGCGUUGUUCGGAAUCACUGGGCGUAAAGGGCGCGCAGGCGGUUUUACAAGUCAGAUGUGAAAGCCCACGGCUCAACCGUGGAAGUGCAUUUGAAACUGUAAGACUUGAGUAUCAGAGGGGAAGGUGGAAUUCCCGGUGUAGAGGUGAAAUUCGUAGAUAUCGGGAGGAAUACCGGUGGCGAAGGCGACUUUCUGGCUGAAUACUGACGCUGAGGCGCGAAAGCGUGGGAAGCAAACAGGAUUAGAUACCCUAGUAGUCC
rnacentral:rRNA from 1 species